rnacentral:rRNA from 1 species
UAGGGAAUCUUCCGCAAUGGGCGAAAGCCUGACGGAGCAACGCCGCGUGAGUGAUGAAGGUCUUCGGAUCGUAAAACUCUGUUAUUAGGGAAGAACAAAUGUGUAAGUAACUAUGCACGUCUUGACGGUACCUAAUCAGAAAGCCACGGCUAACUACGUGCCAGCAGCCGCGGUAAUACGUAGGUGGCAAGCGUUAUCCGGAAUUAUUGGGCGUAAAGCGCGCGUAGGCGGUUUUUUAAGUCUGAUGUGAAAGCCCACGGCUCAACCGUGGGGGGUCAUUGGAAACUGGAGAACUUGAGUGCAGAAGAGGAAAGUGGAAUUCCAUGUGUAGCGGUGGAAUGCGCAGAGAUAUGGAGGAACACCAGUGGCGAAGGCGACUUUCUGGUCUGUAACUGACGCUGAUGUGCGAAAGCGUGGGGAUCAAACAGG